AUACUGUGGUUUCUCUUCAUUCCCGACUAAAUCUUUCACCUUUUACUAAAGAUUUCCAUGGAGAGGAACAAUUGUAAAUCACUAAAAAAAUUUUGAUGCCCGGUGAUAGCUGAGCU